UUAUUGUGGAGCAAAAACGGCGAACAGCUCAUUUAUCAGUGGUAAGUGCAUACAAUGUAUUUCGUUGGAUAGUAACGGAAAAUCUGUUAGUAAUACAUGAACUGUUUUUAGCAUUAUGUUAAAAAUAAUAGUAAGUGCGAUUGUAUAUCUGCCACUGCAGCAUCAUCUUACGUUGGUGGGAUAUUUGCCUACCAAGGAUUCGACGCUUACGGGGAAUUAGGGUUUGACUCCGGAGAAUGAGCAUGAGAAACAGCUCAUACAUCUAAGGAAGGCAGCAGGCGCGGAAAUUGCCCAAUGUAUCUUUUAUACGAGGCAGUGACAAGAAAUGGUAGGCACUUUUGUGCACUAUCGAGGGUUAGUGGUAUCUUUGCUAACCGUGACUCGUGGGCAAGCUCGGUGCCAGCAGCCGCGGUAAUUCCGACACAGGGAGUUUUCCAUUUGGUUGCUGCAGUUAAAAAGUUCGUAGUUUACUGACUCUUUCACUAUAAGCAAAGCCGAAUGCUCCAAGUUUUUUAGCAGUAUUUAUAGUAUGAAAUUAUAGCGCGGCAUUGAACGUAGUUUGGGGUACUCGAUAGGGACAGGUGAAAUAGGAUGAUCUAUCGAAGACCCACGGUAGCGGAGGCUCCCAACGAAGUCCAAGUGUCACGAUCAAGAACUAAAGUCAGGGGAUAGACGACGAUUAGACACCGUUUUAUUCCUGACCCUAAACGAUGUCGCCUAGCUGAUGGGAAUUUUUUCAUUUGCCAAGAGAAAUCGUAAGGUUUCAGACUCUGGGGGAAGUAUGAUCGCAAGGUUGAAACUUGAAGGG
rnacentral:rRNA from 1 species